rnacentral:rRNA from 1 species
GGGUCAGUAGGUUGGUCGUGCCACCGGUACGUACUGGUCUCACCGAUUCCUCCUUCCUGAAGAACCGUCAUGCCAUUAAUUUGGUGUUGCGGGGAAACAGGACUGUUACUUUGAAAAAAUUAGAGUGUUUAAAGCAAGCUAACGCUUGAAUACAUUAGCAUGGAAUAAUGAAAUAGGACGAUCGAUCCUAUUUUGUUGGUUUCUAGGAUUGACGUA